UUCAUAUCCGGCAACGGUUGUUACUCGUACAUUGGACGAACCAGCCGGGUCCCACAAGAUAUAUCACCAUGCGACCAUUAUCCAAUGGCUCUCCAUGAGAUUAUCCACGCAAUGGGAGGAUAUCACGAACAGGGGCACUACAACAGAGACCAGAACAUCCAUCUCAAG